rnacentral:rRNA from 1 species
GCUAAACGCGAAGAACCUUACCCAGGUUUGACAUCCUACUAAUUUCUCCGAAAGGAGAGAGUGUCUUCGGACCGUAGUGACAGGUGAUGCAUGGCCGUCGUCAGCUCGUGUCGUGAGAUGUUUGGUUAAGUCCAUCAACGAGCGCAACCCUUGUAACUAGUUGGAUUUUUCUAGUUAGACUGCCCCGGUAACGGGGAGGAAGGAGGGGAUGAUGUCAGGUCAGUAUUUCCCUUACACCCUGGGCUAGAAACACGCUACAAUGGCCGGUACAAAGGGCAGCCAAGUCGCGAGACGGAGCAAAUCCCAUCAAAGCCGGUCUCAGUUCGGAUAGGAGGCUGAAACUCGCCUCCUUGAAGUCGGAAUCGCUAGUAACGGUAGGUCAGCACACUACCGUGAAUACGUUCCCGGGUCUUGUACACACCG